rnacentral:piRNA from 1 species
AUGAGGAAAUGUAUUAAAGGUUGC